AUACGGAGGAUCCGAGCGUUAUCCGGAUUUAUUGGGUUUAAAGGGUGCGCAGGCGGGAGAUUAAGUCGGCGGUGAAAUUUUGCAGCUCAACUGUAAAAGUGCCUUCGAAACUGGGUUCCUUGAGUGUAGGUGAAGUAGGCGGAAUUUGUGGUGUAGCGGUGAAAUGCAUAGAUAUCACGAGGAACUCCGAUUGGGCAGGCAGCUUACUAAACUACUACUGACGCUCAGGCACGAAGGCGUGGGGAUCAAACAGGAUUAGAUACCCUGGUAGUCCACGCAGUAAACGAUGAUUACUAGCUGUUUGCGAUACAAUGUAAGCGGCUGAGCGAAAGCGUUAAGUAAUCCACCUGGGGAGUACGUUCGCAAGAAUGAAACUCAAAUGAAUUGGCGGGG
rnacentral:rRNA from 1 species